rnacentral:rRNA from 1 species
AUUGAACGCUGGCGGCAGGCCUAACACAUGCAAGUCGAACGAGUGGCGGACGGGUGAGUAAUGUCUGGGAAACUGCCUGAUGGAGGGGGAUAACUACUGGAAACGGUAGCUAAUACCGCAUACCAUCGGAUGUGCCCAGAUGGGAUUAGCUUGUGGGUGGGGUAACGGCUCACCAAGGCGACGAUCCCUAGCUGGUCUGAGAGGAUGACCACCCAACCUGGAACGGAGACACGGUCCAGACCCCUCGGGGAGGCAGCAGUGGGGAAUAUUGCACAAUGGGCGAAAGCCGGUUGCAGCAAGGCCGCGUGUAUGAAGAAGGCCUUCGGGUUGAAAAGUCCUUUCAGCGGGGAGGCGUUACCCGCAGAAGAAGCACCGGCUAACUCCGUGCCAGCAGCCGCGGUAAUUC